AGCCUAUUAGCUCAAUUGGUCGAGCACUAAGUACACAGAAGAUGUAGGUUCAAGUCCUACAUAGGCUA
rnacentral:tRNA from 1 species